rnacentral:rRNA from 1 species
AUUGAACGCUAGCGGGAGGCUUUACACAUGCAAGUCGAACGAGUGGCGGACGGGUGAGUAAUAUAUCGGAACGUGCACAGUAGCGGGGGAUAACUACUCGAAAGAGUGGCUAAUACCGCAUAAUAGUGGAGCGGCCGAUAUCGGAUUAGCGAGUUGGAGGGGUAAAGGCUCACCAAGGCAACGAUCCGUAGCUGGUUUGUGAGGACGACCAGCCACACUGGGACUGCGCCACGGCCCAGACUCCUACGGGAGGCAGCAGUGGGAAAUUUUGGACAAUGGGGGAAACCCUGAUCCAUCCAUCCCGCGUGUAUGAGAAGGCCUUCGGGUUGUAAAGUACUUUUGGCAGGGAAGCGGUAUCUGCAGAAUAAGCACCGGCUAACUACGUGCCAGCCGCCGCGGUAAUUC